CUACGGCCGUACCAUGCUGAAUAUACCGGUUCUCGUUAGAUCACCGAAGUUAGGCAUCAUUGGGCGCGGUCAGUACUUGGGUGGGUGACCACCUGGGAACACUGCGUGCCGUU
rnacentral:rRNA from 1 species